UCAAGUACGCGGACGCCUGCGAGGAGGUUCUCCGGUGCGCCAAGUAUUGCCGGCAGCGAUGCCUGCUUACGUCUUCCUCGUAUGAUUCGCCAAGGCCGCGUCCUCCUCUGAGAUAAGAAGAGCGACAAGGAGAUGGAGAGCACGGUCUUUUUUUCGUGGAGCUGGCGCUGCUGCAGUACGGCCUAGUCCAGUCUAAGGCCUCCAUGGUUGCUGCUGCUGUUUCCGCAACCAGGCUACCCCGAAGAAGACCCCUAUGUGGAUUGACAAUCUAAAUUAUAGUAUGUGUUCUUUAUUUAUAAUUGAAGUUCAAAAAUAUCAUUGGCAGGGGUACAGAAAUGAUUAUAGUCGUUAUAGCAAAAAAAAGUGCAGAAAC